UGAUUCUUUAGUGGUAUGAAGUCAUGUGACCUGAUGUCCUCUGUGUCUCUGUCUCUCCUCAGGUUGACCACGGCUGUGGAUCUUCCUCCAGAGUUCAUCCACCUCUACAUCUCCAACUGCAUCUCCACCUGCGAGCAGAUCAAGGACAAGUACAUGCAGAACCGUCUGGUGCGCCUGGUCUGCGUCUUCCUCCAGUCUCUGAUCCGGAACAAGAUCAUCAACGUCCAGGACCUGUUCAUCGAGGUGCAGGCCUUCUGCAUCGAGUUCAGCCGCAUCAGGGAAGCUGCCGGACUGUUCAGGCUGCUGAAGACCCUCGACACCGGAGAGACCCCCGAGAGCAAGCCCGUCAAAUAGUGAUCUCACAGAGACUGUUCCUGAGACUCAGCACCGCCCCUCCAUCAGCUGGGAGUAGAGUUCAUUUUGUAAAUAUGUAGUGACUUUAAACCGGUUCUCUCUCUUUUCCAGAAGUUUAAAACAGGACUCGUUUCACCGUCUCAUUUUUUUACCACAUCUCUUUUUCUUUGGAAAUCUCGCCAUGUUGUCUCUGAUUAAACAACCGCUGUUUAACUGACCCUGU